rnacentral:tRNA from 3 species
GCGGGUGUAGUUCAAUGGUAGAACCUCAGCUUCCCAAGCUGAUAAUGUGGGUUCGAUUCCCAUCACCCGCUCCA